UACAGAGGGGGCAAGCGUUGUUCGGAAUUACUGGGCGUAAAGGGCGUGUAGGCGGCCUUCUAAGUCGAACGUGAAAUCCCCGGGCUCAACCCGGGAACUGCGUCCGAUACUGGGGGGCUUGAAUCCGGGAGAGGGAUGUGGAAUUCCAGGUGUAGCGGUGAAAUGCGUAGAUAUCUGGAGGAACACCGGUGGCGAAGGCGGCAUCCUGGACCGGUAUUGACGCUGAGGCGCGAAAGCUAGGGGAGCAAACGGG
rnacentral:rRNA from 1 species